rnacentral:rRNA from 1 species
AAGUGCAACUUGCACCGGAUACACAUUUUCACCGGAGUGAUUUGAGGAGAAGUUAGAAAGGGCACACGGUGGAUGCCUUGGCGCCAGGAGCCGAUGAAGGACGGGGCGAACACCGAUAUGCCCCGGGGAGCCGUAAGCAGGCUUUGAUCCGGGGAUUUCCGAAUGGGGCAACCCGCCAGCGCGAACCGCUGGCACUCCCACCUGAACACAUAGGGUGGGGUGAGGCAGACCGGGGGAACUGAAACAUCUUAGUACCCCGAGGAAGAGAAAGCAAACGCGAUUCCCUUAGUAGCGGCGAGCGAACGGGGAACAGCCCAAACCGAUCGUCUCUGACGAUCGGGGUUGUGGGGCGUCCUACAUGGAGUUACAAAAGUGGAAGGUAGGCGAAGUGGCCUGGAACGGCCCGCCAUAGCAGGUAAUAGCCCUGUAGCCGAAACCUUCCACCCUCCAGGACGGACCCCGAGUACCGCGGAACACGAGAAAUUCCGUGGGAAUCCGGGAGGACCACCUCCCAAGGCUAAAUACUCCCUGGCGACCGAUAGUGAACCAGUACCGUGAGGGAAAGGUGAAAAGCACCCCGGGAGGGGAGUGAAAUAGAACCUGAAACCGUGUGCUUACAAGCAGUCGGAGCGGACCUGAUCCGUGACGGCGUGCCUUUUGUAGAAUGAACCGGCGAGUGACGAUGCCGUGCAAGGUUAAGGUGAGAAGCCGGAGCCGCAGCGAAAGCGAGUCUGAAUAGGGCGCAUCAGUACGUCGUCGUCGACCCGAAACCGGGUGAUCUACCCAUGUCCAGGGUGAAGCUGAGGUAAAACUUAGUGGAGGCCCGAACCCACUGGUGUUGAAAAACCAGGGGAUGAGGUGUGGGUAGGGGUGAAAUGCCAAUCGAACCCGGAGAUAGCUGGUUCUCCCCGAAAUAGCUUUAGGGCUAGCCUCGGAUUAAAGUCGCGGAGGUAGAGCACUGAUUGGGCUAGGGGCCUGUCAAGGGUUACCGAACUCAGUCAAACUCCGAAUGCCGCAUACUUGAUGUCCGGGAGUCAGACUGCGAGUGCUAAGAUCCGUAGUCGAAAGGGAAACAGCCCAGACCACCAGCUAAGGUCCCUAAGUGCAUGUUAAGUGGGAAAGGAUGUGGAGUCGCAUAGACAACCAGGAUGUUGGCUUAGAAGCAGCCAUCAUUGAAAGAGUGCGUAAUAGCUCACUGGUCCAGGGACUCUGCGCCGAAAAUGUAACGGGGCUAAACAUGCCACCGAAGCUGUGGAUCCGUAAGGAUGGUAGGGGAGCGUUCCCAGGGCGUUGAAGUCGUCUCGUGAGAGGCGGUGGAGCGCUGGGAAGUGAGAAUGCCGGUAUGAGUAACGAAAAGAGGGGUGAGAAUCCCCUCCGCCGUAAGCCUAAGGUUUCCUGAGGAAGGUUCGUCCGCUCAGGGUAAGUCGGGACCUAAGCCGAGGCUGAAAAGCGUAGGCGAUGGACAACAGGUGGAAAUUCCUGUACCACCUUCCGCCGUCUGAGUGACGGGGGGACGCAGGAGGGUAGGAGAGCGCGCGACUGGAUGCGCGUCUAAAUGGUGAGGCUGAAGGAAGAGGCAAAUCCCUUCCUUCUCAAGGCUGGGCCAUGGGCGAGGGAAAUUACAGUACCGAAGUCUUUGAUCUCACACUGCCAAGAAAAGCCUCUAGCGAGGCGGAAGGUGCCCGUACCGCAAACCGACACAGGUAGGCGAGGAGAGAAUCCUCAGGCGCGCGGGAAAACUCUCGUUAAGGAACUCGGCAAAAUGACCCCGUAACUUCGGGAGAAGGGGUGCCCCGGUAGGGUGGUCUUCGGACUGCUCGAGGGGGCCGCAGUGAAGAGGCCCAAGCGACUGUUUAGCAAAAACACAGGUCUCUGCGAAGCCGCAAGGCGAAGUAUAGGGGCUGACGCCUGCCCGGUGCUGGAAGGUUAAGGGGAAGGGUUAGCUUACGCGAAGCUCUGAACCGAAGCCCCAGUAAACGGCGGCCGUAACUAUAACGGUCCUAAGGUAGCGAAAUUCCUUGUCGGGUAAGUUCCGACCCGCACGAAAGGCGUAACGACUUGGGCGCUGUCUCAACGAGAGACCCGGUGAAAUUGUAGUACCAGUGAAGAUGCUGGUUACCCGCGACAGGACGGAAAGACCCCGUGGAGCUUUACUGUAGCCUGAUAUUGGAUUUUGGUACGAUCUGUACAGGAUAGGUGGGAGCCUGAGAAUCCGGACCGCCAGGUUCGGAGGAGGCAAUGGUGGGAUACCACCCUGAUCGUGCUGGAGUUCUAACCGACAUCCGUGAUCCGGAUGCGGGACCGUGUCAGGUGGGCAGUUUGACUGGGGCGGUCGCCUCCUAAAAAGUAACGGAGGCGCCCCAAGGUUCCCUCAGCGCGGUUGGAAAUCGCGCUCAAGAGUGCAAAGGCAGAAGGGAGCUUGACUGUGAGACCUACAAGUCGAGCAGGGACGAAAGUCGGGCUUAGUGAUCCGGUGGUUCCGAGUGGAAGGGCCAUCGCUCAACGGAUAAAAGCUACCCCGGGGAUAACAGGCUAAUCUCCCCCAAGAGUCCACAUCGACGGGGAGGUUUGGCACCUCGAUGUCGGCUCGUCGCAUCCUGGGGCUGAAGUAGGUCCCAAGGGUUGGGCUGUUCGCCCAUUAAAGCGGCACGCGAGCUGGGUUCAGAACGUCGUGAGACAGUUCGGUCCCUAUCCGUCGCGGGCGCAGGAAAUUUGAGAGGAGCUGUCCUUAGUACGAGAGGACCGGGAUGGACGCACCGCUGGUGUACCAGUUGUGUCGCCAGAUGCAUCGCUGGGUAGCCAAGUGCGGAAGGGAUAAGCGCUGAAAGCAUCUAAGCGUGAAGCCCCCCUCAAGAUGAGAUUUCCCAUUCCCUCAGUGGAAGUAAGACCCCUUGAAGAUGACGAGGUAGAUCGGUCCGAGGUGUAAGCGCAGUGAUGUGUUUAGCUGACGGAUACGAAUCGGUCGAGGACUUCUCCU